CCCUUAGAGUUUGAUCCUGGCUCAGGACGAACGCUGGCGGUGCGCCUAAUGCAUGCAAGUCGAACGAGCGACCCGGGCUUGCCCGGUUAGCUAGUGGCAGACGGCUGAGUAACACGUAAAUAAUCUGCCCCGAAGAGGGGGAUAAUCCAGAGAAAUCUGGCCUAAUACCCCGUAUCUAUCUUUUCAGCCUGCUGAAUUGAUAGAAAGGUUUAUUCCGCUUUGGGAGGAGUUUGCGGCUUAUCAGGUAGUUGGUGGGGUAAUGGCCUACCAAGCCUAAGACGAGUAACCGGUGUGAGAGCACGAUCGGUCAGAGGGGGACUGAGACACGGCCCCCACUCCUACGGGAGGCAGCAGCAGGGAAUCUUGCGCAAUGGACGAAAGUCUGACGCAGCGACACCGCGUGGAGGAUGAAGGUUUUAGGAUUGUAAACUCCUUUUAUCAAGGAAGAGAACGGACGGUACUUGAUGAAUAAGGUUCGGCUAACUACGUGCCAGCAGCCGCGGUAAUACGUAGGAACCGAGCGUUGUCCGAAUUUACUGGGCGUAAAGAGCGCGUAGGCGGUCUAUUAAGUCUCAUGUGUAAUCUCCCGGCUCAACUGGGAGGGGUCAUGGGAUACUGGUAGACUUGAAGAUAGCAGAGGAAAGCGGAAUUCCCGGAGUAGUGGUGAAAUGCGUAGAUACCGGGAGGAACACCAGAAGCGAAGGCGGCUUUCUGGGCUAUUCUUGACGCUGAGGCGCGAAAGCGUGNGGAGCGAACCGGAUUAGAUACCCGGGUAGUCCACGCCCUAAACGAUGGAUACUAGAUGUUGGAGGUAUAGACCCCUUCAGUGUCGAAGUUAACGCGAUAAGUAUCCCGCCUGGGGAGUACG
rnacentral:rRNA from 1 species